rnacentral:Y_RNA from 1 species
GGUUGGUCUAAUGGUAGUGGGUUAUCAGAACUUAACAUUAGUGUCACUAAAGUUGGUAUUCAACCCCCCACUGCUAAAUUUGACUGGCUUUAA